rnacentral:misc_RNA from 1 species
GUAGGUGAACCUGCGGAAGGAUCAUUUCCGAAAAAACAUAACCAAAAUCAACCCCACACACACACACAAAAAGAGAGAGGUUAGGUGGAGAUCACUCUUUGCCUUCUCCUCUCUUUUUUUGUUGUUGUUGUUGUUCAUGUGUACUUGAUAUGUUCUGUCAUAUCAUUUUAGUCCGAGUGUCCUUCCUUUUUUUUUUACUCUCGAAGACUUCUUCUGUAAGUCGGAGAGAGGCCAUUGAAGAACCCCACUUUAAUCCUUGUCAAUCCUUUUACCAAGAAAAAAAAGAGGAUUGAUUUUGGAGAAAAAGCGAAAAAUUAAAAGUUUUUAAAUUCUUUAUCGAAACAAAAAAUUAUACGACAACUUUUAACGGUGGAUCUCUUGGCUCGU